UCCCUGGUGGUGCAGUGAUUAGGGCUCGGGACUUUCACUGCCAACACCCGGGUUCAAUCCCCGGUCAGGGAA
rnacentral:tRNA from 1 species